rnacentral:rRNA from 1 species
GCAUAUCAAUAAGCGGAGGAAAAGAAACCAACAGGGAUUGCCUCAGUAACGGCGAGUGAAGCGGCAAAAGCUCAAAUUUGAAAUCCCUCGGGAGUUGUAAUUUGUAGGUUGGGAGACCCCGCGGCUAGUGGCACCAAGUCCCUUGGAACAGGGCGCCUUAGAGGGUGAGAGCCCCGUAGGUACCACAAUACCGUCUUGUGUCUCCUCUCCAAAGAGUCGAGUUGUUUGGGAAUGCAGCUCAAAGUGGGUGGUAAAUUCCAUCUAAAGCUAAAUACCGGCGAGAGACCGAUAGCGAACAAGUACAGUGAUGGAAAGAUGAAAAGCACUUUGAAAGGAGAGUGAAACAGUACGUGAAGUUGUUAAAAGGGAAGGGUAUUGAAUCAGACGUGGUGCUGUUGUUCAACUUUGUUUCGGCAUGGUGUACUCAGCAGUACUAGGCCAAGGUGGGGUGUUUGGGAGUGAAAAAGGAAUAGGAACGUAGCUCUUCGGAGUGUUAUAAUCUAUUUUCAUAGCUCCUCAGGCGCCUCAGGACUGCGCUUCGGCAAGGACUUUGGCAUAAUGAUUCUAUACCGCCCGUCUUGAAACACGGACC